AGUCCAUUAGCUUAAUGGGAGAGCAUCUGGUUUACACCCAGAAGGUCGGGGGAUCGGUACCCUCAUGGACUACCA
rnacentral:tRNA from 1 species